rnacentral:rRNA from 1 species
UAAGGAAUAUUGGUCAAUGGACGAAAGUCUGAACCAGCCAUGCCGCGUGAAGGAUGAAGGUCCUCUGGAUUGUAAACUUCUUUUAUAGGGGACGAAAAAAGGGAAUUCUUUCUCACUUGACGGUACCCUAGGAAUAAGCACCGGCUAACUCCGUGCCAGCAGCCGCGGUAAUACGGAGGGUGCAAGCGUUAUCCGGAUUCACUGGGUUUAAAGGGAGCGUAGGUGGGCAGGUAAGUCAGUGGUGAAAUCCCCGGGCUUAACCUGGGAACUGCGCUUGUGACUGCAAGACUUGAGUGCGGCAGAGGGGGGUGGAAUUCCACGUGUAGCAGUGAAAUGCGUAGAUAUGCGGAGGAACACCGAUGGCGAAGGCAAUCCCCUGGGCCUGCACUGACGCUCAUGCACGAAAGCGUGGGGAGCAAACA